rnacentral:rRNA from 1 species
UACAGAGGUCCCAAGCGUUGUUCGGAUUCACUGGGCGUAAAGGGUGCGUAGGCGGUCGGGUAAGUCUGAUGUGAAAUCUCACAGCUUAACUGUGAAACUGCAUUGGAUACUAUUCGGCUUGAGAGUUGGAGGGGGGACUGGAAUUCCUGGUGUAGCGGUGAAAUGCGCAGAUAUCAGGAGGAACACCGGUGGCGAAGGCGGGUCGCUGGGCCGAUAUUGACGCUGAGGAGCGAAAGCGUGGGGAGCGAACAGG